rnacentral:rRNA from 1 species
UUUAGAGGAAGUAAAAGUCGUWACAAGGUUUCCGUAGGUGAACCUGCGGAAGGAUCAUUAACAAAUCGUAAGUCGGUCGACCGUGCUGGCGGCAACGCAUGUGCACGUCGAUCGCAAACCAAUCCACACACCUGUGAACGUAUGGCCUUUGGGUCUCUGACCCGGGGCAAACCAUUUUUUACCCACUCUUGUAAAAGAAUGUCACUUGUGCUGAAAGCGCAAAAGCAAACAACUUUCAACAACGGAUCUCUUGGCUCUCGCAUCGAUGAAGAACGCAGCGAAAUGCGAUAAGUAAUGUGAAUUGCAGAAUUCAGUGAAUCAUCGAAUCUUUGAACGCACCUUGCACUCUUUGGUAUUCCGAAGAGUACACCCGUUUGAGUGUCAUUGUAAUCUCACCUCUGGAACUUUGUUCUGGGAGUGGACUUGGACGUCUGCCGUGUCACGGCUCGUCUGGAAUGUCUCAGUGUACCCCGCUCGUCRGCGUAAACAGUGUGAUAAGUAUCUUCACUGGUAGCUUCCUCGGAGGCGCGCUCUCAGGUGGAUCGGCUAUGCUGCCAACUGUUCUUCGGACAAAACUCUGACAAUUUGACCUCGAAYCGGGUGGGAUUACCCGCUGAACUUAAGCAUAUCAAUAAGUGGAGGAA